rnacentral:lncRNA from 1 species
AAAAUGAUUAAGAAAAAACGCUCAAAUUGGAUCAAAGCUUUGAAUGACAACGUAAGUCUCGAUUUUUUUUUUUUUUUGCUUUCUAUUAUGCGUUAUUUUAUUCAUCAUCUAGUAGUAAUUUAAUCUGCAAAAUUCCAAUUUUUGACGCGCGCGCACCAACAAAAAAAUUUUGAAAGAAUUUUAUUUGAAUUUUAUAUGUGUUCCUAUUUGUUUUAUGAAUCGAAUCUGAUAAGAAAUUGUGGGGAUGCAAAUAUCACACGAUGCCUCCGUUCAGUCAAGUUUAUUCUUGAUUUGUUGAAAUUGUGUAAAUAGAUUUAUAAUAGUUUUUAUGAUGUGUCAGGGUUCGCGCUCUUUGGAUAAUCAUGGAAGUAUGGUGAUUUCUAUUUAUUGUUGUGGGGAAAGGACACCGACUUCUUUGCGUGGUUUUAGAAAUGAUCGCAUAGACUUGUAUUAGGAUAAUUAUACCCUUUGACUGUAGUGAUUUCAUCUUGGCAUAUUUAUCAAAAUGGGUAUUUUCCCUUUCAGCUACUCAUCACACGAGCUUUAACCUUCCACCAGUGAUCAAGUUGAACAUGCAAGAUUCCAACAAGUCCCUUUGAGAUCCCGUCCAGUUGUUGCAGCCCAGAUCCCACCAUCAAAUCAGGUCAAAUUACAAGAUAUACCUAACUUAUGGAUUAACUUUCGUGUCUUUUAGUUUGAGAUCUAGUGAGUACAAUGCUCGUAAUGCCCAAUACCAUAUGGUUCAAGAGGAUAUGAGAGCAUAAAGGUUCAAAUUUAUGAGUUUAACUGGUUGAAAAUGGUGUAAUAUGCCUCUGUGGUUUGUACAUAAUGGAUUAGAUAAUCCUCUUUUUUUGGCCCUCCAAAGAAUUAUUCGUAGGAGACUGAAAAUUGAAUCUCUGAUGCAGUUUAUCCUUGAACUGGUAAGACAAUGUAGCUGAAGUAAUUUUUCAUAUUUCAUAUAGUAUUUGCUAUCACUUAAGUGGAAGACUGACUUUUGUAUAUUUACUUUUUCUGGUGGCUUCAAACAGUCUCAACCAUUUGGAAUGUGACAAACUUUGAACUACUAUAUUAAUAAGAAGAUUAUUAAUCCUGCAUGCCCUAUACUCGCUGCUGUGAUUGAAGAAAGGCGGAUAUUACUAUUGCUGACUGACUGACUCUUACCAAUGGCCUUGACAAACCUUUUGUUCGCAUCAAACUGAGGCAUAAGAGGUGUAAAGGUGUAGGAGUGAAAGCUACAACAUAUGCAAAAACAAUAUGGAUGGACCUUGCCAAUGCCGAGUUGAUCUCUGGAAAUAAGAUUCACAUAAAUAGAUUGGGAAUGCAAUUGUGGAGCAAAUUAGUAGGAACCAGGAUGGAAAUUUCACAGGGGUUGUGCAUCUUGAAGGAUACAAGACGACCGUGUUGAAGCUGACCUGGCUGCUUGAAAUAAUCGAGUUAGUGGGGUUCGACUACCUAAUCACAAAGAAAAAGGUAUGUUGAUUUUCAGAUUUUUUUUCUUCCACUUAUCUCUUUGCUGUCAUACAGAGUGCCAUUCUGAAUAGUAAACUUUUCAUGUAAUGUGAAUUUGAUCCAUAAAGCACCUGAAUCUAGAUAAGUUUGCUGCAUGCUGAGCAUUGGGUCUUGUGUCUCAUGUGGGUUUUUUUCUUGAGUUCUUUAUGCCCAAAGAUGCUAGAAGGCUGGUUCUUACCACCGACCAACCAUCUAUUUAUACUUAGUCAUAGCAAUUGCAAACAUACCCCCUUGGUUGGUUCACGCAGUAAAAUCUCUUGAGGCAGUACCUAAUUGCCAUUUCCAAGUGUUUAACCCUAAAUUUUUAAUAACGUUUUGGUGGAUUCAUGUACAUUGAACUAGUCUUCUUUCUAUAUUACAUGGAUUAAAUUUUGAAACUAGGCCAACCUGUUGUUAAAUCUGCCUUUCAAAUUAUUGACUUAAUAUUGCCAAAAAAGAACUUUUUACCGAUUACAGAAUUUUUCAUUUUUGCAGGAAACUGGAGUCGCAGCUGACAGUGCUCAAGGGCAAUCCUUAAAUUAAAUUUCAUUGCAAUCUUUAAACUUUAAAUUAUUUGAGAAAAAAAAAAUCUUGGCAUAAUAUUGAACAGUGCAUUUACUUGUAUAAUAUCAAUAAAACAAUGCAUGUGAGGGAAUAAAAAGAAUAAGAUGAAAUUUGACGACAGUAAUUGGCACUAUUUCAAGCAAAGAAAUCUGGACACUAAUAUGUUUUCUCUGUUACUUUCCAAAAUUACUGCAUGUACAUGAGAUGAUUGUUUGCUACUGUUGUACUGUAUAAGGUGAAACAUUUGAAGAAGCCCCCUUCUAAACUGGUAGUGUUGGUCGUUGUUGUCCUGCCGAGGAAGUGUCAUUAGAUUGAAACCUACUGCAAAUAUUGAUACAAAAUGGCUUCAAGGUUUCGUUAUAGAGCUGACUGCAAAAUGGCUUCAAGGUUUCGUUGUAGAGCUGACGACAAGCUUCUGUAAACAGCGCCCCAUAUUGAUGCACAACAAUGGUAAUGGACGAGCAAAGCCACGCAGUGUACAAUAUGAUAUGACCAAUAUCAGAGCGAGGAACAAAUGUGGAGAUCAAGGAGACUGCAGAAACAGAUCCAGAGACAACUGCUACAAGGGCCCAAGAUUGGGAAGAAUUCUCUUGAUGAGCUAAAUAUGCAUAACAAUAAAUGGCUGUGGUUAUGAGAAAAGACCAUAUAUUUGUUGUGUGUGUUUCAAGCAAGCGCUCAGUUGUGCCGUGCAUAUUUGCUCCCACGAUGCCGAUGAGAGCUGGAAUGAGAUAUCCAAACACGUUAUGGUAUGCGUUUGACAUCGCGGACAAAUAAAUUUUGUUCCUGCAGAACCAUUAAAAUACUAUAUUAAGGAAAGUAUUAGAUCCAUUCCUUUAGAAAAACAAGAAUUUAAGAGAUCAUUAUGUAUUUAGUCCCAUUUAAUAUUAGUUUAAUUUUUUCAAGUUAUUGUGAAAAAAAAAAAUUAUCAAAUACUUUUAUCGAUCCAUUCCUUUAGAAAAAAAAUAUAUAUAUAUAUAUAUAUAUUUUCAGUGCACACACAACAUUUCUUUACUGUUUCAAACAAUCUGGUUCUAACUAUUAUAUUGUAUCAAACUCUUCUUGAGUUCGACUUUCUUUCAAACCCAAAUAUUAUAUUUGACUUUGGCUUUUCUCUUUAUUUUCAAGAUGCAAUGGGUUUCUAUCAGCUUUCCAAGCCUUAUAAAAUCUUGACAAAGACUUGAAGAAGAAAACAAAUUAUUUUCAGUGCAUAUUGAUUGGUAAGAAUUUAAAAAGGAAAUUUGGGAUUUUUUUUGUUUUCUUUUGAACAUUGUCUGUAUAUAUAUAGGGUAAAGUUUUAUUUUUAAAUACACGUUGUGGCUCAGUUCAGAGAGAGAAGGGAGACGGUGAAGAUUGAUGGGUUGACUUUCUUUUCCCGUCAGCCAUUUUGUAAUAGAUUGAUCAGAGCAAUCAUUACCUGCAAAACUCAACACAUCACCAAAUUAACAACCAACAUUUCAAUUUCAAACCCAACCUUAAAUUGAAACAAAUCUUCUUGAAAAAUAAAGGAAAAAGCAACUCCAAAUCAAAAUCGAAAUGAAACCUUAACAGAGAGACAGCCGCAAGUAUGAGGAGACAAGCACGAUCCUAAAAGAUCUGAAGUCCUGUUGGUAUAUGAGAGAUGAACUGACCUCAAUUUAUAUAGGAUGGAUUCCCUUUGCUCAUUGGCUGCUGCAGCCCUGGACCGUUGAGGGGGGACACGUGGAGGGAUCGUGGGGCGGGAUGGAAGUAACUGUGGUUGAGUUAAGGUUGGACUUUUCAUUAACAUACCUUUGAAAAAGGUAUGUUAAUCAACCUUUCAAAGGUACUUCCACCCCUCACAUAACUCCAGUCAACCACAGUUACUUCCAUCCCGCCCCACGAUCCCUCCACGUGAGCUGCUGCAGCCAAUGAGCAAAGGGAAUCCAUCCUAUAUAAAUUGAGAUCCCUGUUGAAACACAUAAAACGACGCUGAAUUAACACACAAAUACACUUAAAAGUCUGUUUCCCAAACAAAAACUUUUUAGAAGAUUCUCUUACGUAAUCUCCAAAACACAUGCCCACUUCCAUGCUCUGAAGAAUUUCUUCAGAGAGUUCCAACGAGACCUUGUCUUUUCUCUCUGAUUGUGAGCCCAAAAACCAGAAAAAAAAACUAAAUAAAUAAAUCACAACAAUUGCGAGAAAACGACAAUGUUUCAAGUAUAAUUUCCACAUACCAACCAUUUUUUUCCUUCAGAUUAAUUCAAUUCCACUGGAUUGAAAAUAAAUUUUCUGCGGGAACGGGAGGAAGUUGAUAAUUUAUUUAUACUUCUGUGUCAAACAGCAUGAUUUCCCAAAUAAGGACUAUAGUUUUCUACUCGUCCCAAAUGGGUGCCUAAACCCGAGCAAUGACUACGAUACCCUUAAGCGUCAGCUCCUGUACACUUAAAUGCAAGGGUAUUUUGAUCAUUUAAUAAUUAGUGACCUACUUUCUGAUGCAUAUAAAAGCACACUUCACGAAGAAAACAUCAAGAAUGAGGAAGAAAAACGCCGAUUGAGGAUGCUCAAAUUGGAUCAAAGCUUUGAAUGACAACGUAAGUCUCGAUUUUUUUUGUUUUCUAUUAUGUGUUAUUGUGGGGAAAGGACACCGGCUUCUUUGCGUGGUUUUAGAAAUGAUCACAUAGACUUGUAUUAGGCUAAUUAUACCCUUUGACUGCAGUGAUUUCAUCUUGGCAUAUUUAUGAAAAUGGGUAUUUUCCCUUUUAACUACUCAUCACACGAGCUUUAACCUUCCAUCAGUGAUCUGUUGAGGCCGAAUGAUGAGCGGAGGAUAGCGUGUUUGGCUUAUUCGUGCGUCAAGGUGAAGCAGAUUAUUGGUGGCAGGAUUAAGCUCGUCGGAUAUUGCAACCAAUUCCUUGGAAAAUGUUUGUGAAUGGCUUGAAGCAUUGAGAUAUCAUUCUAUUAUCUCCGUGUGUUUUCAUAAGCAAAAUUGGGAUGCUAAUAGUGUUGUCAUAGCAGGAAGUUGAACAUGCAAGAUUCCAGCAAGUCCCUUUGAGAUCCCGUCCAGUCGUUGCAACCCAGAUCCCGCCAUCAAAUC